GAGUAAAAGUCGUAACAAGGUUUCCUUCCCCAGGCCUCCGCCUGCUGAAGCCUUGACCGCAGCGACUCGAAAUAAAUGCGUAGUCGGUAACACUGCUUACCGGCCACACUGUCACUGCGCUGGAAGCCUCCCUGGGGGUUACCAGCAACCCGGGUCCUUUCUGGAACCGGGCUCACAGAUCAAACGACGGUGGCCGCCUCCCUGGGGCGGUUUAGAUAUGACCGAUACCCCAGAGGUUUCUCGGGGGAAACCUCUUAAGUUCCGUAGGUGAACCUGCGGAAGGAUCAUUACCGAGAUAGGGUCCCUCUUCCGGGGACUCGACCCUCCCACCCUUUGUGUAUGUACCUCUGUUGCUUCGGCGGGCCCCCGCGGCAUACGGUAGCUGUGCUAAACACGCCGAAAGCCCCGUCCCGCCAGAAGCCCAUUCAAUUCUGACUUAUUAUCACUUGAUGUCUGAGCACACUUUGCAAAAUACAAUCAAAACUUUCAACAACGGAUCUCUUGGUUCUGGCAUCGAUGAAGAACGCAGCGAAAUGCGAUAAGUAAUGUGAAUUGCAGAAUUCAGUGAAUCAUCGAAUCUUUGAACGCACAUUGCGCCCUCUGGUAUUCCGGGGGGCAUGCCUGUUCGAGCGUCAUUACACCUCUCAAGCUCUGCUUGGUAUUGGGCUUUCGUCCCCCGUGGACGGGCCUGAAAAUCAGUGGCAGUUCAGCCGGUACUCAAGCGUAGUAACAUUAUAUCCCGCUUUGGAGUCACCGGGUGGACCCGCCAGACAACCCUAUUGUAUUUUCAAUGGUUGACCUCGGAUCAGGUAGGGAUACCCGCUGAACUUAAGCAUAU
rnacentral:rRNA from 1 species